rnacentral:rRNA from 1 species
CAGCAGCCGCGGUAAUACGAAGGGGGCUAGCGUUGCUCGGAAUCACUGGGCGUAAAGGGUGCGUAGGCGGGUCUUUAAGUCAGGGGUGAAAUCCUGGAGCUCAACUCCAGAACUGCCUUUGAUACUGAAGAUCUUGAGUUCGGGAGAGGUGAGUGGAACUGCGAGUGUAGAGGUGAAAUUCGUAGAUAUUCGCAAGAACACCAGUGGCGAAGGCGGCUCACUGGCCCGAUACUGACGCUGAGGCACGAAAGCGUGGGGAGCAAACAGGAUUAGAGACCCCAGUAGUCCCUGUCUCUUAUAC